ACAAAAUGAACUGCUGUUUUUAGCUGUUAUAUAGCAGUGUUUUACCAGUUUUUCAAAUUUACAGCUGUUAUUUAGCAGUUCUCAGCUGUUCAUUUCAUAGCUGUUUUCAAAACUGUUUCAAGAGCAGUAAGCUUAGCUGUUUUUAAGCUGUUCUUCAGCAGUUCAUCUCAGAACAGGUAAUAAAAAAACUGCUUUGGAGUUAACAGCAGUUGUCUGUUCCUGUUAGCUGUUAUGUAUAAUUUGAUCGGGAUUGAGAAACUGUUGAAAUGUCGGGCUUGGUGUUCAAUUAAUUUAAACAACAGACCGCCAAAAUUCAACAACCUUGGCUGCCAUAUUGUAUAGUUUGGAGAGAAGGCAAGAGAAUGUUUUGAAGAGGGGGAUUGUCGUCACCAAUAAGACAGAGAUUGGAUUGCUAUAUCUAACAAAAGAUGCAGAUAUUUUAUAUACACCUAUACGAUGUUUUUGUAGAAGGAGAAGAUAUAGGUGGAUGUAGUGAUUUUCUUGGACCUGAUUGGGACUAAAAAACGGGGCCUGUAUAUGAGGAUUUGCAAAUUGACCAAGAGCAGCCAGCAAACAUUAAACAUGCAGUGACCUUACAAGUAAC